rnacentral:rRNA from 1 species
UGGGGAAUAUUGGACAAUGGGCGAAAGCCUGAUCCAGCCAUGCCGCGUGUGUGAAGAAGGUCUUCGGAUUGUAAAGCACUUUAAGUUGGGAGGAAGGGCAGUAAAUUAAUACUUUGCUGUUUUGACGUUACCGACAGAAUAAGCACCGGCUAACUCUGUGCCAGCAGCCGCGGUAAUACAGAGGGUGCAAGCGUUAAUCGGAAUUACUGGGCGUAAAGCGCGCGUAGGUGGUUCGUUAAGUUGGAUGUGAAAUCCCCGGGCUCAACCUGGGAACUGCAUUCAAACUGACGAGCUAGAGUAUGGUAGAGGGUGGUGGAAUUUCCUGUGUAGCGGUGAAAUGCGUAGAUAUAGGAAGGAACACCAGUGGCGAAGGCGACCACCUGGACUGAUACUGACACUGAGGUGCGAAAGC